CGCCUCGGCAGGAUUACGAUUUCGUACAUCGGGUUUUGGGUCAGAGUUGUUAGCAUUCGAUACAAACGCUAUCAAAAAAGUGGGGUUUAAAAUACAUUUUGAUAAUAGGGAUGGAAAUACAGAAAAUGGAUUUCGACAAAGGGAUGGAAGAACAGAAAAUUGAUGUGUAUAUUGUAAAUUUAUUGUUAUAAGCAGUAGAUUAAAGCUGUCAUUAAGAUGCAUAUGCUGCGGGACCGGACGGAUGAGAACAAUUUAAGAGUCCCCAAGGAUCAUACCUAUUAAGCUUUGUGAAAGUCGUGAAGGGGAUGUCGGUUGAAUAAAACAUUCACGAACGACACACGACUUAUCAAAGGCGAAAUCGGAACCUCACUCUAAGCGUAUGUUGUCCACAGAUGUCUGCAUCGCAGGUGGAUGCCUGUCUUUCAAGACCAAUAAGUGGUGUGAGACAACAAAUGUUGGCAUGCGCCUGCACAACCUGUACUUUGAAUUAUUCAUUUCCGCUGAUAGAUGAAGAAGUUGGGGACAUGAUCAAUCCUGCGGUAACUAACAACACACCAAUACAGGGAGCAGCGGUAAAUAAGAGGCAUCAGCUGAUCGAACUGUUUAGUUGAAAAUGUUGUAAAGUGAUAGUUAUACAUAUUCAAAGUGAUAUAUUGCCGUAAUAAUAUAUAUUCUCCAAAUAUCCUUGAUAUGAUGCUCUGUUAAAUAAUCAAGUCUCCACACCCUUAAAACUGUUAUUUAUGUUAAA